GAUGAACGCUGGCGGCGUGCCUAAUACAUGCAAGUCGAGCGAACGGACGAGAAGCUUGCUUUUCUGAUGUUAGCGGCGGACGGGUGAGUAACACGUGGAUAACCUACCUAUAAGACUGGGAUAACUUCGGGAAACCGGAGCUAAUACCGGAUAAUAUUUUGAACCGCAUGGUUCAAAAGUGAAAGACGGUCUUGCUGUCACUUAUAGAUGGAUCCGCGCUGCAUUAGCUAGUUGAUAAGGUAACGGCUUACCAAGGCAACGAUGCAUAGCCGACCUGAGAGGGUGAUCGGCCACACUGGAACUGAGACACGGUCCAGACUCCUACGGGAGGCAGCAGUAGGGAAUCUUCCGCAAUGGGCGAAAGCCUGACGGAGCAACGCCGCGUGAGUGAUGAAGGUCUUCGGAUCGUAAAACUCUGUUAUUAGGGAAGAACAGAUGUGUAAGUAACUGUGCACAUCUUGACGGUACCUAAUCAGAAAGCCACGGCUAACUACGUG
rnacentral:rRNA from 1 species